rnacentral:ncRNA from 12 species
CCCAUAGCUCAAUAGGUUAGAGCACUUGACUCAUAAUCAGGGGGUUCCAGGUUCAAUCCCUGGUGGG